rnacentral:rRNA from 1 species
UACGAAGGGGGCUAGCGUUGUUCGGAAUUACUGGGCGUAAAGCGCGCGCAGGCGGUCAUCUACGUCUGGGGUGAAAGCCCGGAGCUCAACUCCGGGAUUGCCUUGGAUACGGGAUGACUUGAGGAUCGGAGAGGCAAGGGGAAUUCCACGUGUAGCGGUGAAAUGCGUAGAGAUGUGGAGGAACACCUGUGGCGAAGGCGCCUUGCUGGCCGAUUUCUGACGCUGAGGCGCGAAAGCGUGGGGAGCAAACCGG